rnacentral:rRNA from 1 species
AGGGAAUAUUGCGCAAUGCCCGCAAGGGUGACGCAGCAACGCCGCGUGUGGGAUGAAGCAUCUUGGUGUGUAAACCACUGUCAGUUGGGACGAACCACUACAGCAAGAAACGGUUGUAGUCUGACGGUACCAG